UGUAACAGAUUCAGAAAGCAAAACGACAUUUUCGAGGAGCACAUGUCGGCUGAACGUUACUCUGGGCGAUCGAUUGGCUUCAGGUCGUUGCGUUCUCAAACAACAUUGGCAUAAUUCGCGAAGGUGGAGUACGCCGCACAUACCGCGAGCUCAUUACUGUCGUGCCACGCGUCAUGACUGAAAACCACCGUUCUAUUUUGUCGUCGUCGUCGUCGUCGUUGUCGCCGUCGGAAUGACGAUGUCACAACGGGGUCGGUAAACAGCAAGCACGGUUUUCCCAACUUUCAGAUAACGCCAAUCAGUCUACGGCCGGCAACGCCAAUGAGAAUUCAUCGGCAUCGAUUUCCGAGCAAUUCGCGUCGAGGUAUCAUCGGACGGUCGCCGGCAGAUUGGAAGUUGAUGAUAGAGGGUCGGAAGAGACGAACGAUAAAUCCGCCUAGCUUCGGCGACAAUUAGCUAAUGCACAAAAUUGCUUCAGCAACACUGUUACGUAAACGUGACGUUUGCAGGCGGAUCUUUUAUAACGCGAAAACUUAUA